GACAGAGGGUGCAAACGUUGUUCGGAAUUACUGGGCGUAAAGCGAGUGUAGGCGGUUUGGUAAGUCGGAUGUGAAAGCCCCGGGCUCAACCCGGGAAGUGCACUCGAUACUGCCAAGCUAGAGUAUCGGAGAGGUUGGUGGAAUUCUCGGUGUAAAGGUGAAAUUCGUAGAUAUCGAGAGGAACACCGGUGGCGAAGGCGGCCAACUGGACGAAUACUGACGCUGAGACUCGAAAGCGUGGGGAGCAAACAGG
rnacentral:rRNA from 1 species